UGGUCGGUCGUCGGAGGAUGACGCUUCAUCGUUUCAAAGUUACGAACCUGCGUGAGCUGUUCAGUCGCCGCCUCGGUGGCCAAUCUCGCUAGGCCCUCCUCGUACCUCUCGAGGGCUGUGAGCCUGAGAAGAUAAUGUCGACCUAGAAAUUGAUUCGUAAAGCAGCAAAAAAAAACUCGUUAUCUUCGAAAAGAAUAGGAGAGGUAAGAUGAACGAUGAAAGAAGAGGGGAGAGGUCGAGGUGAGAUGCGACGAGACGAUAACGCACGGUACCAGUCGUGUUCUUGGCGGUGCGGUAGGCAUAUCUAAGAGAAAAAAGAAGAAAGAAGAAGAAUAAUAGAGAAAACGAGAACUCACCUUGCCGCCUUCUCCAUUCAGAUUUUGCUGAUGUUCGCAAAGGGCGCAAACCUCACCCAAUAGCUCGUGCGGUUUGAUGAAGAGCCUUGCACUUAGCAAAAAGGCAAAGAGGUAAGCACGAUCGGGAUAAUAUUCCUCGGUUGGUACCAUGUGCUGCACUAAUGCUUCCAAGGAUCCAGAAACUAAGUUUCCGUCUCGGUACACUAGAGCCUGAAACAAGAGAACCGACAUUCUUGAGUACGUGAAACAAGAUACCUCCGAAUAUGUCACCAUUUGUUUUUCCACCCUAAAUGCAAAUGCAAGAUAUCUACUUACUUCCAAACGUGUUGCUUCAGGAUUACAAAGUUUCUUGUCAACCACCCUGUUGAAGGUUUUAUGGUAUUUAUUGUACGAAUAUAAACGGAAACUUUGUAAUCCUAAGAUAGGAAGGGAUGACCCUUUGGGUCUUACAAACGGAAGAAGUUGAUGUUAUGAGAGUGAACAUUUCGCCAGACUUCGUAAGCGUUAAAUGCAACGAAAAGUUUGAGGUUAUGUUAGGUAUAUGUUAUUUUUAAAUGAAUCAAACUUUUACGAUGAUCAAAUAAAAUAACAUUCUACUACUAAUUGAAUUGGAUCUGUUGAGUUUUGGGAAGGAGAGAGGGGGAGGGGAAGAGAGAGAGAGAGAGAGAGAGAGAGAGAGAAACAAAAAGAGAAAAAGAGGGUGAGAAAUGAAGAGAAAAUAGAAACAAAAGUAUUUCCACGAAUCGCCGUGGCAAUAGAGUCAGAGAUCCCUUUUUGAGGUUUCCACAAAUGUUAGUAUAGUAUUGAGAUACGUCGUUCUAAAGUUACUACCAAGCCGCAGUCUGUUAAAUCUGUGCGCUAUUAAAGUUACGCCCAUCACUAUGCCGCUAAGCCCUGAACAUCUCUAUCGAGGAUUCAAAUGGCUUAAACUUAGCACGGGUUAAUAUACCAUCGACGAUGAAACAUUUGCAACGAAAACUUGCAAACCAUCGAGGAACUUGCGACGUAACCAGACCGACCAUGUUACUACGAGCGAAAGUUUCGUUGAAAAUUCGUUUCAACGAAGUUUUAACGUAAGAAUCGCGAGAUUAUCAACGAGAAGGAAAAAGUCGAUUUGUUCUUUCUCACCGGGGAGCAGUUCCGACGGUCUUUCAGCGUCCUUUACGAACGUUUUGCUCGAGACUAUUGUAUUUCAAAGAACGAGGAAGUACGUCGAGAAAUAAAAAGGGCUAUUUUGUUCGAGUCGAGCCAAGCGGAGUCUGUCGUUCAUGAGAAGCUUUGGAUGGAUUUUCUGAAAGACUGCACCGUCGCGAAUAUCCUGAUGAUCAGCACCAGCACCAUUGACCAUGCCAGAACCAGGAACGCCACUACCUCCUCCACCUUUUCCACCGACACCACCGGCUGGAGUUUGCGAUUCCAUAUGGAAGAAAACAAGUCAUUGGAGACACACCAGCGAGAAGGUCGAAGUUAACGGAGAAGAGAAGCAACAGCGAGAAACAGAGACCUGGAACGGCAUUCAAGAGCGAGGAGUGGAUAGAAUGGUUGACCUCUGUGGACGACGGAGCCGUCAUGCGAGUCAUUAACAUAACAAACGCAUAAUAAUAGCUUGUAGGCAUUACUGUUACCGCUACGUUGACUCUCGGGACGCUAGAGAAUCAAGUCGCUUGCACGUAUCUACGUAUUUAUGGAAACGGAUCGGUCGCGUCAGCCGAACCAUUGUCGUACGGAUUCUCGAUCAUCCUGGACAAGGACGACGGCAGUCGCCAUCGUCGUUCGGCAAGGAACAAAGACGUGAAUUCGAAUAGCAAAACCAAGCUCGCUUCGUAUCCUCGACCAACCGGAAGAAGGAGGGGUACCACUGCUGCAUUCAAGCGAAAGACAAUCGACCGACUAAAUCCUGGCUUACCAAAACCCGUUCUGCAAGUUCGCGUGAUUGAAUCAAACUGAUUCGAAUCGGAUCUCGGGACCUCAUUUCACUAUGACUUUUCCUUCCUCGAUUGGCCUUUUUUUUCUCACAAGAAAAACUGGAAAACAAUUCUUCGAUGGUAUAUUUAAAGCAAACUUUAAAUCACCGAUGCAAUUAGUUUUCAUCGAUGCCGUCCUUCCAAUCGUUUCAAACUUUAUCUCAAUUUCCGCGAUAUUUAAAUGCUCAAAUCCUGAAAUAAUAAAUGAACCUCAUUCGAAUAAAAAAUCGAUUCUAUUUGUAAUC